GACGAACGCUGGCGGCGUGCUUAACACAUGCAAGUCGAACGGAAAGGCCCUGCUUUUGUGGGGUGCUCGAGUGGCGAACGGGUGAGUAACACGUGAGUAACCUGCCCUUGACUUUGGGAUAACUUCAGGAAACUGGGGCUAAUACCGGAUAGGAGCUCCUGCUGCAUGGUGGGGGUUGGAAAGUUUCGGCGGUUGGGGAUGGACUCGCGGCUUAUCAGCUUGUUGGUGGGGUAGUGGCUUACCAAGGCUUUGACGGGUAGCCGGCCUGAGAGGGUGACCGGCCACAUUGGGACUGAGAUACGGCCCAGACUCCUACGGGAGGCAGCAGUGGGGAAUAUUGCACAAUGGGCGGAGGCCGGAUGCAGAAACGCCGCGUGCGGGAGGACGGCCUUCGGGUGGUAAACCGCUUUCGCCUGUGACGAGGCGUGAGUGACGGUAAUGGGUAAAGAAGCACCGGCUAACUACGU
rnacentral:rRNA from 1 species